rnacentral:tRNA from 1 species
GCCUGGGUGGCUCAGUUGGUUAAGCGUCCGACUUCGGCUCGGGUCACGAUCUCACGGUCUGUGAGUUCGAGCCCCGCAUCGGGCU